rnacentral:tRNA from 1 species
GGGGACGCAGCUCAAUGGUAGAGCAGUUGCUGAGCAUGUAUGAGGCCCUGGGUUCAAUUCCCAGCAUCACCA